UAAAAAGUGGAACAGCCUCCUGGAAAGGAAGCUUCUGUCAGGUGUGCAGCUCUGGACAACGAGGACAAUCCCGGAGAGCUGACAGCUGCCAGAAGCCCCACAGAGAGGACAGGAGUCUGCUCAGGAGCGUCCCCAUCAGAGGAAGCUGCAAGGAUGUGGCUCUGUUGCAAAGGUCUGCGGUGCAGCAGAAGACGCCGGUGUAACCAGCACCCAUGACGGUGCCGGCUAAGGUUACAUUGCACAGGAAUUAGUGUGAGCUGAGCCCAGUGUGAAGUAUUGUUUGUGCCACUCUGCCGUCAUUACCGAGCGUUUUAUCUGGAUCUGAUCUUCUGUUUUCUGACUCUGUUUACCUGCCCCAUCUCUCGCCUGGAUCCUGACUACCCCCAGUCUCUGCUUUGAACUUUUUGCCUGUUAUUAACCCCUGCCUGACCCUGAUUUAGCUUUGUGGACUUUUAGCUGAGCUAAUAAAACUCCUGCAUUUGGA